rnacentral:rRNA from 1 species
UACGGGGGGGGCAAGCGUUGUUCGGAAUUACUGGGCGUAAAGGGCGCGUAGGCGGCCUGCUAAGUCGGAUGUGAAAUCCCUCGGCUCAACCGAGGAACUGCAUCCGAUACUGGCGGGCUUGAAUCCGGGAGAGGGAUGUGGAAUUCCAGGUGUAGCGGUGAAAUGCGUAGAUAUUCGGAAGAACACCAGUGGCGAAGGCGGCCAACUGGUCCGGCACUGACGCUGAGGUGCGAAAGCGUGGGGAGCAAACGGG